CGAAAGCCUGAUGCAGCAACGCCGCGUGCGGGAAGAAGGCCCUAGGGUUGUAAACCGCUUUCAGCAGGGAAGAAAAUGACGGUACCUGUAGAAGAAGGUGCGGCCAACUACGUGCCAGCAGCCGCGGUGACACGUAGGCACCAAGCGUUGUCCGGAUUUAUUGGGCGUAAAGAGCUCGUAGGCGGUUCGGUAAGUCGGGUGUGAAAACUCUGGGCUCAACCCAGAGCCGCCACCCGAUACUGCUGUGACUCGAGUGCGGUAGGGGAGCGGGGAAUUCCUGGUGUAGCGGUGAAAUGCGCAGAUAUCAGGAGGAACACCAGUGGCGAAGGCGCCGCUCUGGGCCGUGACUGACGCUGAGGAGCGAAAGCGUGGGUAGCAAACAGGAUUAGAUACCCUGGUAGUCCACGCCGUAAACGUUGGGCACUAGGUGUGGGUCUCAACCAACGAGAUCCGCGCCGUCGCUAACGCAUUAAGUGCCCCGCCUGGGGAGUACGGCCGCAAGGCUA
rnacentral:rRNA from 1 species